GUGGGGAAUCUUAGACAAUGGGCGCAAGCCUGAUCUAGCCAUGCCGCGUGAGUGAUGAAGGCCCUAGGGUUGUAAAGCUCUUUCAGCUGGGAAGAUAAUGACGGUACCAGCAGAAGAAGCCCCGGCUAACUCCGUGCCAGCAGCCGCGGUAAUACGGAGGGGGCUAGCGUUGUUCGGAAUUACUGGGCGUAAAGCGCGCGUAGGCGGACUGAAAAGUUGGGGGUGAAAUCCCGGGGCUCAACCUCGGAACUGCCUUCAAAACUAUCAGUCUGGAGUUCGAGAGAGGUGAGUGGAAUUCCGAGUGUAGAGGUGAAAUUCGUAGAUAUUCGGAGGAACACCAGUGGCGAAGGCGGCUCACUGGCUCGAUACUGACGCUGAGGUGCGAAAGCGUGGGGAGCAAACAGGAUUAGAAACCCCAGUAGUCC
rnacentral:rRNA from 1 species